rnacentral:rRNA from 1 species
AUACGUAAGAUGCAAGCGUUAUUCGGAAUUACUGGGCGUAAAGGGUGCGUAGGCGGUUAAUUAAGUCUGGUGUGAAAUUCUACGGCUCAACCGUAGAACUGCGCUAGAAACUGAUUAACUAGAGUCCGGGAUGGGAAGGCGGAAUUCCUGGUGUAGGAGUGAAAUCUAUAGAUAUCAGGAAGAACACCGGUGGCGAAGGCGGCCUUCUGGCCUAGGACUGACGCUGAGGCACGAAAGCGUGGGGAGCGAACGGGAUUAGAUACCCCGGUAGUCCACGCCGUAAACGUUGUACACUAGGUGUUAGUGGUAUCGAUCCCACUAGUGCCGCAGUUAACGCAUUAAGUGUACCGCCUGGGGAGUAUGCCCGCAAGGGUGAA